UUUAAUUGAAGAGUUUGAUCAUGGCUCAGAUUGAACGCUGGCGGCAGGCCUAACACAUGCAAGUCGAGCGGCAGCGGAAAGUAGCUUGCUACUUUGCCGGCGAGCGGCGGACGGGUGAGUAAUGUCUGGGAAACUGCCCGAUGGAGGGGGAUAACUACUGGAAACGGUGGCUAAUACCGCAUAACGUCUUCGGACCAAAGUGGGGGACCUUAGGGCCUCACACCAUCGGAUGUGCCCAGAUGGGAUUAGCUAGUAGGUGAGGUAAUGGCUCACCUAGGCGACGAUCCCUAGCUGGUCUGAGAGGAUGACCAGCCACACUGGGACUGAGACACGGCCCAGACUCCUACGGGAGGCAGCAGUGGGGAAUAUUGCACAAUGGGCGCAAGCCUGAUGCAGCCAUGCCGCGUGUGUGAAGAAGGCCUUAGGGUUGUAAAGCACUUUCAGUAGGGAGGAAGGCAACACGUUUAAUACAUGUGUUGAUUGA
rnacentral:rRNA from 1 species